rnacentral:tRNA from 1 species
UCCAGGGUAGCCUAGUGGUCAUGGCAUCUGCCCGGUAAGCGGAAGGUCGUGGGUUCGAUUCCCAUCCCUUAAC